rnacentral:tRNA from 1 species
GCCGGGGUGGUGGAAUGGUAGACACGCCAGACUUAAAAUCUUGUGAUCGCAAGGUCGUGAGGGUUCGAGUCCCUCCCUCGGCA